rnacentral:rRNA from 1 species
AGUGAACGCUGGCGGUAGGCCUAACACAUGCAAGUCGAACGGCAGCACGGAGGAGCUUGCUCCUUGGGUGGCGAGUGGCGGACGGGUGAGGAAUACAUCGGAAUCUACUCUGUCGUGGGGGAUAACGUAGGGAAACUUACGCUAAUACCGCAUACGACCUACGGGUGAAAGCAGGGGAUCUUCGGACCUUGCGCGAUUGAAUGAGCCGAUGUCGGAUUAGCUAGUUGGCGGGGUAAAGGCCCACCAAGGCGACGAUCCGUAGCUGGUCUGAGAGGAUGAUCAGCCACACUGGAACUGAGAAACGGUCCAGACUCCAACGGGAGGCAGCAGUGGGGAAUAUUGGACAAUGGGCGCAAGCCUGAUCCAGCCAUACCGCGUGGGUGAAGAAGGCCUUCGGGUUGUAAAGCCCUUUUGUUGGGAAAGAAAUCCAGCUGGUUAAUACCCGGUUGGGAUGACGGUACCCAAAGAAUAAGCACCGGCUAACUUCGUGCCAGCCGCCGCCGUAA